rnacentral:rRNA from 1 species
UAGUCCACGCCCUAAACGAUGCACACUAGUUGUCGCUAUGCUAGACAUAGCAGUAAUGCAGUUAACACAGUAAGUGUGCCGCCUGGGGAGUACGGUCGCAAGAUUAAAACUCAAAGGAAUAGACGGGGACCCGCACAAGCGGUGGAGCAUGUGGUUUAAUUCGACGAUACGCGAAGAACCUUACCUGGCCUUGACAUAAUAAGAAUCUUUUAGAGAUAGAAGAGUGCUAGUUUACUAGAGCUUAUAUACAGGUGCUGCACGGCUGUCGUCAGCUCGUGUCGUGAGAUGUUGGGUUAAGUCCCGCAACGAGCGCAAACCCUCGUGUUUAGUUACUAACAGUUCGGCUGAGGACUCUAGACAGACUGCCUGGGCAACCAGAGAAGGUGAGACGACGUCAAGUCAUCAUGGCCCUUACGGCCAGGGCUACACACGUGCUACAAUGGGGUAUACAAAGAGCAGCGAUACCGCGAGGUGGAGCAAAAUCUCAUAAAAUAA